UCUUUGAUGACUCAAGGUUCAUAUUAGGGAAAGGAGAGUGAGGGGAAGAGGGGGCAGCCCUCGGCCCGAUCAUCCAAUUCGCUCCAACAGACAGGCAUGGUUCUGUAGUCAAAGCAACUUCGUCACUUUCGUGUACCCAUCGGGCGAAACUCUCGUCGUAGUUUGGCGACCUAAGGGGCGGACACUUUUUGUUAUCUAAAGGCGAAGACUCUGAAGUGGGCGAACACUCGGCCCAGCGGGCGAACAUGCCGGGCUCCGGCUCCGCGCACCUGCUGACACCUUUCGAAGCACUUUCUCUCUCUCUCUCUCUCUCUCUCUCUCUCUCUCUUUCUCUCCAACCCCACCAUCUCUCCAUCUCUCCCUCCCCCUCUCUUUGUAACACCCUAAAAUUUUCGAACUUUUUAAAUUGCUAUGGUUAUAAAAAUCAUUUUGGGUGUCAACCCACUUUUAACAAAAACCGGUCCUCCAAAAACAUUUACAGUUAAAACCUUGGGUAUUACCAUUAAGCAUCAUACAACCAUUGCAAAAAAAAUACGAAUUACAUCAAUACAUUAACAAGGAACUUAACAAGUUCCACUCCAUUAUCUAUCACGUGACUCCUAACUUCCAUCAAUCAUUCUCUAUCUUUAUAUAUAACUUGAGAUAUAUGACAUUAAAAUGUGAAGCAUAAGACAAAAAUGUAUCGUAAGCUACGUGGGUUUUAGACCAUAAAACAUUUCAAUCAUUUUCAAGAAAAAUUCCUUUCAUUCAUACCACAAAUCAAUUUUAUAUAUAACAUAACAUAUCAUAUCAUUAGUGUCAAGCUGGGAAGAACAAAUCAACCCACCAAGACAUCAUUUCCAAGACCAAGGUGGAAAGAACAAAAUCAAUCCACCAAGGCAUUCCAAGACCAAGGUAGAAAGAACACAAUCAAUCCACCAAGACAUCAUUUCCAUGACCAAGGUACGAAGAACAAACCAAUCCACCAAGGCAUCAUUCAUAGGACAUAUACUUCGCUACAUGGAGGUACUGCCCAAGUAGAUUCUUCUUGACAUCUUAUGAGGCAUCAUGACCGAGGUAGUUUUCAUUAUUUCUAUACUUUCUUUCCUUUUUAAUUUCUUUUUAUCUUUCACUUUCCACAUUAUCAAUACUCAUAUCAUCAUUGAAUAUAUCAUAUGUUAUUAGAGAGAUAUACUUUAAAAACAUACAUUUCACAUAUCAAACAUUGGUUCUUCCAAAAUAUUCUUUUCUUUAAAAACAUUCUUACUUUCAAGGAAUUCUUCCGAAACAUUCUUUUCAAAACAUUUAAGACUUUCAUUUUAAAACAUUUCAUAUAUCAAAGUAUUGUAUUUCUCUAUCAUAAAAUCAUCUUGCCAUGUACCCCAAAUUGGGAAAAAUCCACACGUACUCACUUAGUUCUUCGAUGUAGGUUGCUACCCUUUUUUAAGCUCCUUUUCACAAGUGACACUCCCCUUACGUACUUCAUAUAAAAUACAAAUAAAGGUCAAUCAGAAUGACCAAAAUACCCCUCGUAGUUUCUUUUACUAAUUUUUAUUGCUUUAACUCAUUCCUCAUGUAAAAAAUAUGAAUAUAGUCGAAAAUCAUGCGUAAAUCCGAGUAUGUAUGUAAAAUUUAUGAGAAGAAUGAGUUGACCAUUAACAGGGUGGAAAACGCAUCGUGUUCGUUAUGCCUUGAGGAACAUGGGCCGUGUUCACAUGAUUGCAUCAUUUCUUAACUCAUUUUUUCUCCAAAUAACACUCUACUUUGCAUGGUUCUUGAACAACCUUUUCCAAAUCACUUUGUACCCUUUGUAUAGGUUCUCAUACAUGAUUAGAAGGUGUUUUAUUAUCUAAAACACCCAACUUAAUUCAUCAAGUGCUCAUCGAACACAUUAAGAGCAUUAUGAUCUUCAAGUUGUAAAAGAAAGGUUAACUAGUACAUUUUGCACUUGAAGAUUCCAAAGUCCACAAAACUUGUUCCCAACAUGUUGAACACUCAAGAGGAUGUUUUCAAGUGCAUGAAACAAUAACUAAUCUCAUUGUAAACACCUAAUCUAACUAUGAAACCCUUAAUUCUAUUCCAUAUUCCCAAAUUGUCGUUAUGUCCACUCGUUCAAUAAAUCAAUUUAAGAAUCAAGCAACAACUCAUGUUUUGAGCUCAAUCUAUUCUAAGAGUAUCCAUUCAUGAUUAUGAAAUUCCUUUACUCAUCAAUUGAUUAACUAUAAGGGAUUAGAUUGAUUUCAUCAUAGUGUCCCCAAAUCCAUUUCCAUUUAAGCUUAUACAUGAUUCCACCAUCAUGGAUGAAUUUGAUCAUUCCCACUGGGUUUCUUGUUGUCAAAAUUCUUCAAGGUCAUUAAACUCAUAACAAAUUAACAUAUAAGUACAACAUCCCCAAAACAGGGAUUCUAGGUUCAUGGUUGACUUUUUAUCCAAUUCACCAAAACCAUUAAUGGAAUGAUUGGUUUGAGAAUGGAACCAUUGAAAUCACCCAAGGGAGGUUAGAGACCAAAAGCCUAACCCUUAUAAGAAGCUAUCAUUGAUUCCUCUUGCUUUCUCUUGGAUGCACAAAUCACCUAUUGAAUUAAACCCUAAAGGAUAAAGAAGAUGAAAUCACCAUGUAAGCUCCUCCCUUUCUAGCAAAAUACAUUCUAAUGAACGAGAGGAAGGAGAAUACAUCUUAUUUUCAAAAAGUUUACCAUUUAGUCCUUCAACUUUGCUCAAUUUGCCAAUUUCCACCAUAAACUCAUAUUUUCUGACUUCAACUUAAUUUUUGACAUAAUAAGUCCUUCUCCAUCCAUUAUAUAACUUUUGUGGUCCCUUAUACUAAUUGAUUGAACCCUUUGGUCAACUUACUUUGCCAAUUUAACACUUUUGCCCAUUUAACAUUAAAAUGAUACUAUUUUUACUUCUAACUUUCUAAACUUCAUAUCAACUAAUGAUUUGACUAUCCCUUGAUAAUUUAACUAUAUAAAUCAUUUUUUAAACUUAUUUACUUUAUUUAUUUAAGAACCAUUCUUAAAUGUUUAGGAUGCUACAAUUAUCUACCUCUUAAAAGGAUUUCAACUUCAGAAUUACUUCGUGAGUCAGCUCAUUAUGAUUUCAUCCCAUCACUAUUCAACUUCCUUCAUAUCCAUAUCAUAUUGGUCAUUUUUUCGCAAUUUAAAUCAGUCCUAAUAAUUAAUAAUCUAUCAUUAGGUGUUAUUAACCCUCCUGGACACUUUUACCCUUUUGUCCCCUUUUAAUAUUUUUAAUUAAAUACUUUAUCAGUGAUAUCAAAUAUUUUAAGACAUACAUUCGCAUCAUGUUAUAACAAGUUUUAAGUCAUGUAAGAAGCCUUAUCAUGUACCCCCAACCCAUAAGUCACCAUUUGACUAUUUCCUUGCUUAGAUAUUAUAUAUUGCCAAAGUGUACCCUUUCGUGUCCACACACGUCACCAACAUUUCAUUCUUUACUAAUUCCAUUAGUAAGUCAUUACCAUGAACUUAGCUUCAUAUAUAUCUUUUCAUCUUGCAUUUUUUACUUCCUAUAGUAUCAAAGUCCGAAACUUAACAUAUUACUUUCAACUUGGCCUGAACGCCUGCCAAAACAAGAUUUGCAUGGUCUACAUACUAUCAUCUCAUAUCGAAUACAUGCGAAAACACAUUAUAGUACACAUACCAUUUCAUUCCUAUUUCUAUAAUCAUAGAUAACCAAUUGUUAGAUAUUGUACUUAAAGUCUAAUCACUCUUCAUAACCUCUCAUUUCUAUACUUUCUUUUCUAUUGGACUUGAUCUCCAAGUUAUAAUACUGACACUUUAACUUGGAGAUAUCUAGACAGUUCAUUCGUACUAAUGAUGUCCUUGUUCUAUAUUUUCUCAUAAGAUAACUCAACCCUAUAUAUUGCUCUAAAUCUUAUACUUUUGUAACAAUAAGUACCAUGCCAUCCAGGUUCAUGUCUGCUUCCCAACCUUAUCCAUAUCCCUUUUUAUUCACUUUAGGUGAGGUGUCAAACCAAAAUAUCAUUUCUUUAGUAAACGCAUUUCUUAGGCCUAUAAGCCUAAGCAUACCAUGACAAGAAUAUCUAAAGCAUGCAGUUUUGUUUCAACUUAAUCUUUAAAAAUCUUGCUGAUUCUGAAAUAUCUUGUCACUUUCAACUUGAUUAUUCCCAGAUAUCUACCCCAUAAAAGAAAUUGGGGAAUUUCUUUUAAAGUUAAAACACAAGAUGAACAUCAUCAUGUAGCAAGACAUUUCGUUUAUUGGUAACAUCCCAAAAAUUAAAACAUAAAAAUUUCAUUUUUAGUUCCACCAUAAAUAACAUUUAAUCGUUUCAUUCAUUCAAAAGUAUAACAGAGUAAAAAUAGUUAUCAGAGUAUAAUUUCCCAAAAUCAUGUAGUGUGGAAACAUGGGUGGAUGCGUUGCGAUCAAGCUGGACCCUUCCCACUCGAACCAAGAGUACUUGAAAAACAUUUUUAACAUAAACCGUAAGUACAAAGUUUAGGCAGUUCUCCAAAAUACCGCAUACCAUACAUACCCUCAAGUUCAAGGUUUUGUAGGGUCUAUUCCCCCCGACUCUAUUUAAUCUCAUAUGCCAACUUAAGGCUAUGUCGCGUCUAGUUCACCCCCAUGUCUAUUUCACCCUGAGUCUAUUACAAUCAUAUGUGAGCACACGGCUAUACCAGGUCUAUUUCACCCCAUAUAUAUAUAUAUAUAUAUAUAUAUAUAUAUAUAUAUAUAUAUAGAGAGAGAGAGAGAGAGAGAGAGAAAACAGACACACAGACAUACAACACAUAUAAUAGGAGUCACAAAGACUACAAGCGCAUAACAUAUCCUAGUGUUCUAUAGUAUAGUGAGGAAACUCACCUCAAUCUCCUAUCAGUCAAACAGAUGCUCAGGUUGCUGAACCGGAGAAUCCCUGCGCUAAGAAAUCAAAUAAAACCCUAAUUAAUAAUUGGUCCAUAAACCAUAAUUGAGAAUCUAGUCCAUUUGUCCAACUCCCAGGAUAAAAGACCAUUUUACCCCUCUAUCAUUUGGCCCAAUAAUCGAGGCCUAAACUUCAAUGGCACUAAAACUGCAAUAGUGGCCCUAUUCCUAAAGGACACCCAAAGUGCAAUAUGCCCAAAUCCAAGAAGGCCCAAAACCUCACAAUGGCCCAAAUUCCGAAAGGCUAGUGGCCCAACAAAGCCCAAAACCCUAAUAGUCCAAAUAUGGCCCAAACCACAAAAGUCAAUGAAAGUCAACAUCUGCUAAGUAUGUCAAACAUACUCAAACCUAUGCCCGUCGUACUCAUUAUUAGCCCAGUACGCCCAGUGUACUGGUUAGUCCCCACUUCUCAAUCCAAAUGACUUAAUUCAUUAAGCCCACUACACACAUACCUCAUAUCUACUGCUAAAUGAAGUCUUAAUACAUAAAGUUGGCAACUUUACUCCUUUGCAUGUCUUAAGGGGACCCAAUACCCAUUUUUAUCCAUCUAAGUCCAUAAUAUGGAUACCAACUCUUCAUGGUUCAUCAAAACCCAUCAAGAUGACAUUAUUUUACCCUAACAACAUCAUAAAUGCUAAGAUCUAACAUUCUAAGCUUCCAAGAGUAGCUUAUACUCACAAGUAUGGCUCAAGGGACCAUAUUAAACUCAAAACAAGCCUUAAAAUAGAUCUAACACUUAGAGUCACCAAGAGCUUUAUACCUUCAAAUUCUAGCAAAGCUGAUGAAGACUUUAGAUCCUUGAGCUCUAAUCCAACCAAAGUUUCAUCACCAAGAUCUUACUUCUUCAAAGGGUACCAAAAAAUGCCAAAAGAUUACUACCAAGGCUCAAAAACACACAAGAACAAGCUAGGUUUUCAUGGGGAGUCUUUAGAGGGAAGGAGGCUAAUGAUAAGAAGGUCCAAGAGAAAGAUAAAGUGUUUAAAUAGGAUCCAAACCCUAAAAAUUAGGGUAUGUCCCAAAAGUUUGUACGCCUAGCGUAUGUCAUGUACUCCUAACGUACAUGGUUGCCUUCCGAGAUCAACAUGAGCCUUGUAUGCCCAGCGUACUCGGCUUAGCCCAAAAUCCACGUAACUUCAAACAGUCAUAACUUAUUUUUUCCAACUUUGAUUUCAACGUUCUUUAUAUCCACAUAAAGGUAAUGAGAAACUCUACAAUCCUAUCAACUCUCCUUUGCCUUAAAAAUUCUCGAGCUUAAAUCCAAAAUUCAUAAAAGGCUCGAACCACCACUUUUUACCAUUAUACCCUCAGGCUCCGAAGCGCAAACCGAACUCUUGAAUCACCUAAUCUACAUUAUCCACAUCCAAAAGGUUCUAAACCUCUCUUUCCCUAAGGCCUAAAUCCUUAUGAUACUUGAUCUUCGGGUCACAGUCCUGAAUUAUGAAACGAUUAGAAACAUAAUGUUACAACUCUUCCCCACUUAAGUUAUAUUUCUUCCUCGAAAUCAUUCACUACUAGUUCCUCUACAACACUAGUUGAUCCUGCCCGAAAUUAUUGAAUUCCAUUUUAAGACUGAAGAUUCAUCCCAUACCAACGACUGCCUCCCAAACCUACCAUGCAAACCCCAUUUUAGCAAAAUCAUUUAUACCCCCAAAAGAAUGAAUCUUAACACUCUUCCCUCGGUCAAAGAAGGAAACCCAACUACUUUUCCUGAGAACUGAAACAACUACCUUACUCUUGCCAAAUGGAAGACCUCGAAUCACAGUGAUAACCAUACAAAGUAGGAAACUUCUCAAAAACAUGAAACCAUUAAUUUAAACCACAUAAAGUAUUCCUUAGGACUGUUUAUGAUUCAUUCAUAAUACCCUCCCUUAUUCUCUAACUGGGAACACCACUCUACUAUGCAGAAGGAAUACUCAAAAUAUACCGAUAGUGAAUUUCUCCCAAUCCCCAAUCCAGAGGUUGUGCCUAACAACCUUAAAUACGCACUUGACUUCCUGACAAGUCAUCACCAAUUUGCCAAUCCCACAAACAUAAGGAUGGUCAAUCCAAGAAUUCUCACGUUGAAUCGAAAUCCCAUAUUAGCUCAUGUGUACCCCCAUCUGACAAAUCACUUGAGACAUUCACAAUGAACUUCAUGACUCAAGAUUCCAUAAUGGAUAGCUAACAUGGUAACUAGACUCCUGAUAGACAGUCCAUAAGAAAAUGGGGUUCAUAAUGCAAACACUCUGCAAGUGACUACUGGUGCACAACUAUUAUUCCCAACUAUAUUUAACAACCCACAUGAUCUAAACCCACUGGUCAUUGAGCCUCCGGACUCCCAUGAUGCACUAACUCCUAAAUAUGGCAAGAAAGUUAAUGAUCUAAGACCUAAGAGUCUUAAUGAAAUGGCUAUCAUUUCUUACCCAUAAAAAUCAUACAUCCGCUGGUUCACGAUACAUCGUGAGACCUGCAAACCACUAAAUGAUAAGCUCACGGUACUAUAUCGAUCUUGCUGCCAUCAUAUUAAUGGCUCGAUGACUCACGACCAGAACCACAGGGGCCUAAUGAUACCCAACCAUCAGUUCACCGACUUGCAGGAACCCAAUCAACAUCCCUCUCAAUGCUAAUUGAACACAACAUGGUUCAUAUUCUUCUAUAACGCACAAUUCCUCUCACAACACAGGCUGAUACCAACGUAAAACUAGACGAAAACAUGGUCGCACACAACCAGAGAAUGAGAUAUACGGUCAUACUCUUGUUCCAAUUCAAAGGCUAUAACCCAAAUGAAAACCAUGCCAAUAAUACUAACCAAGUGGCCUCAUGUUAUCUUAUUCGGUCUACUUGUACCCCUCAUGACCAUAAUCGAGGCACUACCACAAUGUACACCCCCAAAGGAAGACACAUAACCAAUGCAUGAUCCACUACAUUUUUUCAUCCUCACAACCUUACCCAAAGGGUGAAGUACCAACAAAUCAAACGAAAUGAUGAGCCUCAAUCGUUAAUAGAAACAUCCUCAUGAACGACCAAUAUAAUAUAUCACACCUUAAUUGAAACUAAACAGAUCCCAACUAUAUGCAAUAGCUCUAUAAAACUUCCACAGCCAUCAGAAAAGUUGUUAAACUCUGGUCGGGUCAAUCCAAAUACCAACCUCGCUGACCUGAAAUGCCAAAAUUAGAUUCUAUGCAGAUCCCAAGGCACACCUGAAGAAUAUCAUAAUACUGCCCCAUAAUCCGAACUUGUAACAACCAAGAACAUAUAAUAUACUUGAGCCUAUUAUGAUUAAUAACUUCAUAACCAACCACUAAGCGUACCCAUACCCAGAAACCAAAAAUGUAAAAUGUGCAAACUUUUCCAAUUGGUUGACGCAUCCAUUGAACUGUAACUGAUACAACUCUAAACUUCCGAAGAACCUAUGUUGUUGACGAAGAACGAAAAGACCAACGAUCGAGAGUGCAUUGACUACUAAUCCAUUAAUCCACUACACUACUAGAAAAAGCCAAUGAGGGACUAAACAUACCAAGCUUUGGAACUAUUUGACUGAUCACCAACUGCCCAAUCUAGACUAUAGAUAUAAUUCUAUACAACAAGCUGACAAAUCCUUUAACAACCGAUACUCAACUCAAGUGGCCCAAAUACCUCUUGACCUAUUUCUCGACACUACCGAAAGGAACCCCUAUCUACAACGAGUUCCUUAUCCAACAACUUAUUUCCGCGAUGAUAAAUCUUGCAUUCUUGAACACAUACAAUAGAUGGCAACUUGCUCUGCAUCUCCAUCUUGACCAAAUCCUGAACUAAAGUUUCACAAACCCGUACCAAAACUCCUUAUGAACCAUUCUUCUGAAACCAUAACUCGAAGAGUUCGAUGCUCCUCUAAGCAGAAUGUUCAUCCCUUCCCCACUUAGGGUAUGGACCACCACUAACUGAUGUUGCAAAUAGACUAAAACUCAAACCGGCUCACCCAGAGGCAUAACAUCCCAGACCCUUGGAAUGUAUACAACGUAAGAUGGUCUUCCAAAGAUAGACCAAUCAAACUCAAAGGUAUUCUGAAUCUUAGAUGGAGACCUCAAAAAUUUACCAAUCAAACCGCUUCUAAUCUUCAAGAAUUCCACAUAUGUGCACAAGCAAUAAUUAUGACAAUCCAUUCAUAGCACUGAUCAUUGAUCUGAAAAUGAAUGGAAUACCACACACCUCGCCUACCAAUCCCCAUCUGCCAAUUCAUUGCGAGAACUUUUCAUAAAUACAAGAGGCAUCAUCCUCAUGGUCGGGAUACAUCAAAGACAACGAAGGUUGUCGUUACCGAUUCACUUCCCCUAGUUCCUAAAACAAUCAACUAGCACCUGACUUAGCUAUAUUUGAAUAAAUCAGACCCAUGAUCUCGUCUCAAGGCAACAAUACCACAAGAAUCCUCUUGUGCAUUCCCACAAUUCCAUACUUGCCGCCAAAAACCGUACUAUCUAGCCCCAUGUUGGGUCUACACCCCAACUCUGAAAAUCACAUGACUGCUCUCUAUUUCCUCCAAACACAGAAAGAUGGAAGAACACGACCUUUGUUGAACAUAGUGACAUACCAAUCCAUCUGACAAUCAUUUAAUCUUUGGCUGCAAUCCUCGAGCCAAUCAUCACUAUCGCUUCCUUCUUGAGUUUCGCGACUCAACUAUCACUACUUUGAGUAAGGCCCUCCCGACCUCGAAAUCAACUAACUUGCAUGGUUCUGCACCAUUGAAACCCAAACAAACAUGGCCACUGAGGCCCAAACAAUCACCAAACCCAUCAUCAGCCUGAAUGAUCAUAACCGAUAAAUCGAUAAAGGCAGAAACACACUACAACGAAUCAUGGUGCCAAACCAUGCCAUCUUUCCUUAACCGGUUCCUUAGAAUCCCUAAAAUUUUCCUUAAGUCGAGUACGAAUCAUGUGCUUCCAAUAGUACGUGCCCAAUACUACCUUACAUACCUAUCCAUACUUUCCUCAUGAAUAAUCUCGAGUCAUCUAAGUAACUACUCAUGUCCAUGUCUGUCCUAUCCAUUCUCAUACACCCGUUCUCAAAUAAAUACACAUCGCUAAACAGUGGAGGCCAACCCACUACAACACAUCCUCGAAUCUCCUAGGUUCUCAAACUCACCCUACCAUCAGCUUCUGAAGAACUCCUUAUAAUGUCAAUUAACUACUUAAUGAAUAUAAUCACAUGAAACAAAACUUAGAUAAUCCUUCGAGUAAGAGACUCAUCCCUACAACGGUUGGACUCAGAAAAGAGCUGCAUAGAAGGGUCAAAUCAGUCACUCUAAGAUUAUUUAACCUAUAUAAUAGGUGACUUAACAUAUUCACUUAAUAGUCAAUUCACAUCAUCAAGAGUCCCAUAAAGUACAAAGCAAGAAACAUUCAUGUAGUAACACUCCAUGCCAUAAUCAAACAGAUGACAUCUCAAACUCACUUUCUACCAAGAAAGAUUCCAAAUCUAGUAUAAUAUCCAAUUCCUCUUAGUCGACAAGGAAACACAUCUCAGGUCAUCCAUCCAAUCAUCUAAGAUCCAUACUUGUAACACCGUAAAUUUUCAAACAAAAUUUUCAUUUUAAAAUCACAUUAAUCUCAUCAACACAUUUCACAAAUCCCCAAAAUGGCAAUUUAUCAAAAACACAUAUUCUUAAUUGUUUAAACAAAAUCCAGGAUCCUCAAACAUAACUCCGUCUCAUGUGUACAAUCAAGUCGGCACCUUCCCGUGAUCCCAAGAAGUACCUGAAACACAUAACACGGUAAGCAUGAAGCUUAGUGAGUUCCCCAAAAUACCUCAUUAUCCUCUCAUGGGUAAAUCUCAAAUAAGACCCUCUGGUCGAUGUGUUUCAAUGGAACCCUCCGGUCCCACAACUCGGGUGGACCCUCCGGUCCUAACUCAGUAAAGCUCAGAAUAAUACACAACAUAGAUCACAAAGACAUAAUGUAGAAUAUCACAAUAAUCAAUAUAAUCAUACAAGACCCUCCAGUCAUACAAGUUACCACUCAUGGUAAGUAUAGUGAGAAGACUCACCUCGUAAGCAAGCAAAUAAACCUCGUACACGAACGACCGGUCUAGCCUCCGCUUAAAACAUACGUUAAUUAUCUCUAAUUAAUAAACGACCCUCAAAGAAGCUAGGCUAAACCCUCUAUAAACUCAUAGAAGGAUAAAAUACCAUUUUACCCUUUCAUGGUCUCUAUAGUCCAUAAUUUGACUAAACCCUAAAAGUCAACAGCAGCGCAUACGCUGGGCGUACAGCCCCUUUACGCUGGGCGUACUACCUCGCCAUGCAUGUGUAACACUCUAAAAAUUACAACCAAUUUAAACUUUUCAAAAACAUCCCAAUUUCAUAAAGUUAUUACAAAAAGGUUUUCAAUACAUUUAUUAUCAGAGUAUUUACCAGAAACCAUAUCGUAAACACAUAAAACCCGAGGAGCGGUACAAUCAUGCCUUUGCCUUGCCACGAUCUCCUGAAGUACCUGAAACAUUUAAACCACAACUAUAAGCCCGAAAGCUUAGUGAGAUACCCCCAAAAUACCAACGUCAUACAAACAUAACCAUAUCAUAUAACCGAUACAGAACAUCCAUGCACUUCGGGUCUAUUGUGUGACUGGUCCGCCGCACCGGCCUACAGUCCACCUGGUCCACCCUCCGAGUCUAGCCAUAUACAUCGAGUCCACAGUGUGAUUGGUCUGCCCGCACCGGGCCUUCAAUCCACCUGGUCCACUCUCUGAGUCUACAGUAUGACUGGUCCGCCCGCACUGGGCCUUCAGUCGGCCUGGUCCACUCUCCGAGCCUCGGCACGUCUGGUCCGCCCUCGUGGGGCCUACAGCCUAUCCGGACCGCUCGUUGGGCCUUCGGGAUAACCGGUCCGCCCUGGGUAUGUUGGCCUACAGCACAAAGCAGGCCCCGCCUCAACCCAACCCCAGUCCAACAACCAUGUGCACAUAAACAUAUAAUCAUAUAACAAUCCACAUCCAAUCAAACCGAUCUAGCUGAUCACAUAACAUAACCUCAUCCUAGCAAGGAUACCGACCUAACCAGUCACUAGCAUAGCAUCAUCCUAUAUACCAGGAUACCGACCUUAACCAGGUCUAUAACAUAUACCAUCCUAACUACCAGGAUGCAAACAUAGCAAAGCAAUAACAUAACAACAAUACCCGGAUUACAAUCCGAUAAAGGGUCGACCUUGGUGCCUUAGACCCUGUUGAUAUGGUGAGGAUAACUCACCUUGCAACUGCUGAUUGAAAAGGAUAAGAUCACGCUGCUCCAACCUCCGACACAAACUCCACCACUGAUCAAUACCAAAAGACUGAGCUCAAUAAAUACCCAUAAUUACCAAAAUACCCCUGGAAGUCAACUGGUCAACUCUUGGUCAAAGUCAAAGUCCUCAGUCAAAGUCAACCCGUUGACUCGUCGAGUCCCCAUGCUCUGAAACUCCCAUAACACGACUCAACUCGCCGAGUCGCCCAAGACUCGCCAAGUUCCACAACUCUGAGUCUAACCAUACUCAACUUACUGAGUCAUCCCUUGACUCACUGAUUCACAGCUUAACCAGAAAAGGUUAGGACCUCACGACCAGACUCGCCGAGUCCAAGGCUAUCUUCAACCAACUCGCCGAGUUGUUCUUCCAACUCGCCGAGUUCCUUCCUGUCUUCAUGAAACUCACCGAGUGCACCCAUGUGACUCGCCGAGUACCACUAGCUCUUAACCCAUACAGAGGCUUUCCAAGCCAUGCAGGGUCUCAAAUCCAUAGAUCUACUCUUAUACAAGCCAUCCAUCACGUAAAGUGGCAAACUUUACGUGAAUCCAAGGAGAUCUAAGCAUAAUACACUCUUGGCUAAUGUUUGGGACUAAAAGGCUUCAUCAACAGCUCUUGAACAAAGACUCUAUGCUCUUUUGGAUCAUCACUACUCUAGAUCUGAGGUAGCAACCUCAGAUCCAACCUCCAAACUCAAGAUAGCACUAGAUAAAUUCUCAAAAAUCCCACAAAUGAUAGAUCUAGAUGGAUAACAGCUCAAGCAACGAAUCCUUACCUCCAAAGUAGACCCCAACAGAAGAAUAAGCCAAAACCUUGCAAAGCCCUUGCUCCAAGCCUCUUAAUCUUCAAGGAUUUCUUCAACAAACACUCCUUCAAGAUCCAAAUGCUCUCUAAUUCUCUCACACACGAAAAUUAGGGUUUCCGGACUUCAAGGGAGAACAAAGAGGCUGGGGAGAGGGUAUUAUGCUCUUUAUAUAGGGCUCAAUCCCUGGGAUUAGGGUUUUCUCCACUCAGCACCAACUCGCCGAGUCCAGCCACCGACUCGCCGAUUUGGCCACUUAACACGCGACCAGAAUCGCGACCCUACUCGUCGAGUCCACCCAUGGACUCACCGAGUUGACCGUUCACAUUUUCACUUUGACCCCUGAACUUGCACUCCUGAACUCGGGAUGUUACAAUUCUCCCCCACUUAAAUUAGGCUCCGUCCUCGAAGCCUGCGGCAACACAACUCUAGAAACUACUCUCACAAUGCACCACCUGGCAUUAACCAGACCAGGUUUCUCAAAACACAACCACCGAAACCCAAAACCUAACUCUUCCCCUUCGGUGUCCUAACCACCGCCUCAUCCUCUGAUAACCACACUUAUCAACCGAGUACCAUUCCAAGAUACUUCACUCGCCCCAAAUCACAACGAUCGCUUGACCCAUACAUAGCUAGACAUCCCCCAGACCUCCGGGUCAUAACCCGGUACCAAACUGCUAUCCCUUUCCUUGACUAGCAUAACUUCUAUCGAAUUCACUUCUGGGACUCAUCCCGCUUUCAAUCCGAAUCCAACUCUUUUCCUUCCGCGCUGACAAGAUAACCCAUCCUUCAGCUCCUGAGCUCUCCUCUGUAAUCACGCCCACAUGCUGAACCUGAUCCAACAUCCUUGGGCUGGAAAACCCGACACACUGACAAUACCUCUAGACAUUCCCAUGAUGAAUUACCGUUACAUACAUAACCUCCUGAUCACAACCAUACUAGGAAUCCAAGGCUCCAUCCUUGCAUCCCUUCCGAGCCUCUUUGGCUCUACAUCCUCGGAAUUCCUUCCGUGAUCUCAGCAGACAUCCAACCCGGAUGUGCUUCAUACCACUGGCGCAAACACUCUGCUCAAAACCAUAAUUAGAACACCUCAAUCAUACCCCCGCGCUACUGUUUUCACUUCCGUGAACUUACACUCCCUCUCGGAGCUACAUACCUUUCCCUUUCCUUAUCCAAGGAAAUCUACUUGGCUUCCUUGUCACUACAACAAGUGCCACGGGGUACACACUCCACUCUACACUAUUCCCUUAUAGCAUAACCGCUAUCCCAUGCACCACACAUGCUCUGAAUCUGCUCGUAAGGACUUUCGAGUCCAUGCACUACCUUCCACUAAUCAUGACCAAUACCCAGGGCCAGACCUUCUGAUGCUAUCACAUUGCAACAUACUCAUUCCAUCUCCUCAUACAGAUCUAUCAACACAUGCAGAGUCUUCAGCAUGACUGGACCGCCUUACCAGGCCUUCAGCCAAUGUGGACCACUCUCAGAACCUUCAGCAUGUCUGGACCGCCCUCCAGGGCCUUCAUCCUGUCUGGACCGUCCUCCGAGCCUUCGGCCAGACUGGUACGCCUUCCGUUUUUCAGUCUCCCCGGACUGCUCAAACUAUCAUGCAUCAUCCCGAACUAUUCCUCCUGGGAAUUCCGCCCAUACAUACGGUUCAAGCCCUCUAGGGGUUCCGAACUCUAACUCCAUUCCAUAUACUCAGAUCUCGGCCUGAUCCUAGGCAUUACAACCACCAAUCACCCUAUCCGAAAUCCUUGGUCUGUACUCCGCCCCAUCGAUCUGUCACUUACUCAUACCAGCCCACCCUCUUGGCUGACUGAAACACUGCUGGAUCCCAAACACUUGGCUGACUGAAACACUGCUGGAUCCCAAACAACUAAUCGAACUCUAACACUUAUCGAUCCUCCUGGGAAUUUUCCAAUUCUCCCCACUUAGAGCACUGACUAUCCACCACCGGUCGUCAUAACCGACCUCCCUUAACAACCCUUCAGAACACAUUCCCUUACACGCGAACUGAUUCCCACUAGAACGAGCAACCUUCACUAAAUCACAUAUCAACACUGAUCAUCUCGGACUCGAAGGAAGCCCGACCUUCUGCUAACCACUCCUCAGACUGCAGAUGCUACCCGACAUUCAGGCCAAAAUCCUGAUUUCCCACUAAUAAUCCUCACGGAUGAUAACCAACAAAACUCCCAAUACCAAAACCCUUAACUGAACCAUAACCCUCAAGGAACAAACGAAUACAAUACCCAAAUCACACAACGAGACUAGCCGAUAUAUAAUACUCCAUAAUAAUCACAAGAUAACCAAAUAUUAAGAAGGAAACAUACCUGCAACUGCAUCCAGCACUGCCCUGACCUCCUCUACUAUAAGCUGAAAAGCACGACCCUGAGCCCUCGGGGGCUCCGCUCCACCCUGACCUCCACCCGUAAUCCUCAAAGUGGCCGGUGCUGGAGCCUGCACCGGUCCUGCAGCAAGCUGUGGAUAGUAGACCCUCAAGUGCCCAACCUGAUGGCAAUGAUAGCAAAUCCUCAAAUCCUGAACCGGGGCUGUCUACCGACAAUCCCACGCAUAAUGCCCCUCCUUUCCGUACUUGUGGCAUGCACCACCGGACCUACAAACUCCAGUGUGACCCUUCCCGCACUUCCCACAAGUGCGGCUGCUCUGAUCUCCCAACCUUUAAUCAACGGUCUUGGACCGUUGCGGUGCCGGCUGCGACUGUGUCGGGGCCUGCCUCUGUUCUCUCAACUGCAACUCAAUCUCCAACUCACGCCACCGAGCGGCCUCCUGCAACUCCAGCAAGGUCUCGCACCUUUGUAUAGACACAAACUGCCUGAUAUCCCUCUUGAGCAUACUCAGAUAUCGGGACAUCUGAGCUUGCUCCGAAGCAAACUCCGGGCAAAACAUCGCCCUCUCUGUGAACAUCCUGGUGAUCUCCUUCACUGACUCUGAAUCCUGCUUCAGCUCCAGGAACUCCUGAGCCAAUCUCCCCCUCUCAACUCGCGGAACAUAGCAAGUACUGAACAUCUCCCUGAACUGAUCCCAAAAAACUGCAGCUCGCUGCGCAUCAGAAUACGAUCCCGUGGUCAACCUCCACCAAUCCUUCGCCCCGAGCCUCAAAAGGUUCAGAGCACACCUCACCCUCUGAUCAGCAGUGCAUGAACACGUGAAGAAACACCCCUCCACGUCUGACAACCAUCUCAUAGCAACAAUCGGGUCCUGAACUCCAUCGAAGGUAGGGGCUUUGUAUUAUCGAAGUUCUGAUACUAAAAACCUCUAUCGUCUCCUCCCCCUGUCGCUGCUAUAGCCGCUGUAGCCGCCGCAACAGCCGUCUCUGUAAGAGCUACAUAGCGCUCAUCAAAAUACUUGACCAUGGCAGUCUUGAUCGACCCAAAUAGUUUCGGCAACUUAGCCCGGAACAUAGCAGCAACCUCGACAUGCAGGAUCUCAUGAAUCCUGGCAUCCAGCUCGUCUGUGCUCAUCUGACCAAUAGCCUCGGGUGGUGCUGACCCACCCUGACCGCCUCCUCCUGCUCCCGAUCCUGACCCGGAUCCACUCCCAGCAUGCCUCGUAACCACCAUACUGAAAUUACCGCAAAACAUCAGACGCUUCUCACUAACCCGAGAACCGACUCUCGACCCAACCCUAGGGGUUAUGACUUCCUUGAUACGNNNNNNNNNNNNNNNNNNNCCCAUCCGCCCUUCCACACCUACCCAUAUUUAUAUCAAGUAUCACCAUAACACCCUAGUGAAGAACAGGCAUAACAAGCACUCAACCCUCACUCCUAGAGGAACACUGUAAAUCUCAUACAGAAAGAAACCCUAGGCUAGCAGGCAUCAUAAAUCAGGAACACUGUAAAUCUCAUACGAAUGUUCCUCUAAUUCACUCAAAACAAGGCUCUCAUACCAACUUGUAACACUCUAAAAAUUCCAACCAAUUUAAACUUUUCAAAAACAUCCCAAUUUCAUAAAGUUAUUACAAAAAGGUUUUCAAUACAUUUAUUAUCAGAGUAUUUCCCAGAAACCACAUCGUAAACACAUAAAACCCGAGGAGCGGUACGAUCAUGCCUUUACCUUGCCACGAUCUCCUGAAGUACCUGAAACAUUUAAACCACAACUGUAAGCCCGAAAGCUUAGUGAGAUACCCCCAAAAUACCAACGUCAUACAAACAUAACCAUAUCAUAUAACCGAUACAGAACAUCCAUGCACUUCGGGUCUAUUGUGUGACUGGUCCGCCGCACCGGCCUACAGUCCACCUGGUCCACCCUCCGAGUCUAGCCAUAUACAUCGAGUCUACAGUGUGAUUGGUCCGCCUGCACCGGGCCUUCAAUCCACCUGGUCCACUCUCUGAGUCUACAGUAUGACUGGUCCGCCCGCACCGGGCCUUCAUUCGGCCUGGUCCACUCUCCAAGCCUCGGCACUUCUGGUCCGCCCUCGUGGGGCCUACAGCCUAUCCGGACCGCUCGUUGGGCCUUCGGGAUAACCGGUCCUCCCUAGGUAUGUUGCCCUACAGCACAAAGCAGGACCCGCCUCAACCCAACCCCAGUCCAACAACCAUGUGCACAUAAACAUAUAAUCAUAUAACAAUCCACAUCCAAUCAAACCGAUCUAGCUGAUCACAUAACAUAACCUCAUCCUAGCAAGGAUACCGACCUAACCAGUCACUAGCAUAGCAUCAUCCUAUAUACCAGGAUACCGACCUUAACCAGGUCUAUAACAUAUACCAUCCUAACUACCAGGAUGCAAACAUAGCAAAGCAAUAACAUAACAACAAUACCCGGAUUACAAUCCGAUAAAGGGUCGACCUUGGUGCCUUAGACCCUGUUGAUAUGGUGAGGAUAACUCACCUUGCAACUGCUGAUUGAAAAGGAUAAGAUCACGCUGCUCCAACCUCCGACACGAACUCCACCACUGAUCAAUACCAAAAGACUGAACUCAAUAAAUACCCAUAACUACCAAAAUACCCCUGGAAGUCAAUUGGUUAACUCUUGGUCAAAGUCAAAGUCCUCAGUCAAAGUCAACCCUCCUAACUGACUCUACUCGCCAAGUCAACCCGCUGACUCAUCGAGUCCCCAUGCUCUGAAACUCCCAUAACACGACUCAACUCGCCGAGUCGCCCAAGACUCGCCGAGUCCCACAACUCUGAGUCUAACCGUACUCAACUUACUGAGUCAUCCCUUGACUCACCGAUUCACAACUUAACCAGAAAAGGUUAGGACCUCACAACCAGACUCGCCGAGUCAAAGGCUAUCUUCAACCAACUCGCCAAGUUGUUCUUCCAACUCGCCGAGUUCCUUCCUGUCUUCAUGAAACUCGCCGAGUGUACCCAUGUGACUCGCCGAGUACCACUAGCUCUUAACCCAUACAGAGGUUUUCCAAGCCAUGCAGGGUCUCAAAUCCAUAGAUCUACUCUUAUACAAGCCAUCCAUCACGUAAAGUGGCAAACUUUACGUGAAUCCAAGGAGAUCUAAGCAUAAUACACUCUUGGCUAAGGUUUGGGACUAAAAGGCUUCAUUAACAGCUCUUGAUCAGGGACUUUAUGCUCUUUUGGAUCAUCACUACUCUAGAUCUGAGGUAGCAACCUCAUAUCCAACCUCCAAACUCAAGAUAGCACUAGAUAAAUUCCUAAAAAUCCCAUAAAUGAUAGAUCUAGAUGGAUAACAGCUCAAGCAUCGAAUCCUUACCUCCAAAGAAGUCUCUAACAGAAGAAUAAGCCAAAACCUUGCAAAGCCCCUUGCUCCAAGUCUCUUAAUCUUCAAAGAUUUCUUCAACAAACACUCUUUCAAGAUCCAAAUGCUCUCUAGUUCUCUCACACACAAUAAUUAGGGUUUCUGGACUUCAAGGGAGAGCAAAGAGGCUGGGGAGAUGGUAUUAUGUUCUUUAUAUAGGGCUCAAUCCCUAGGAUUAGGGUUUUCUCCACUCAGCACCAACCCGUCGAGUCUAGCCACCGACUCGCCGAGUUGGCCACUUAACAUGCGACCAGAAUCGCAUCCCUACUCGCCGAGUCCACCCAUGGACUCGCCGAGUUGACCAUUCACAUUUUCACUUUGAACCCUGAACUUGCACUCCUAAACCCGGGAUGUUACAACAUGCAUCGGGGAUCCUCGACCGUACGCUGCGCAUACUGGGAUUACGCUUGAUGUACAUCCCAGACUUAUUCUUCCCACUCUCUUGGUCUUAAUCCGUUAAGACCAUAGCUCUAGUCUCAGAUCUGGACUCCCUAAUGGCUCAUACUCCAUAGCUGAGAAAGACCCAAACCUAAAAAACUCUCACUCUUUUCUCCCAAAAAUGCUCAUAUCUCCUGCAUGGGGUGGUUUUGACGUCCAAGACUCCAUUUUAUGAAUCCACUCCAUUAAAAACACUCAAAGGGACAGAUAUUAGGCUUUGGAGUUCAACAACUCAUAAAGCUUCAAGCUUUGGGACCAAAAACCCUAAAAUGGACCAUUAUAUGCACAAAUAAAAAAGGAUGAGAAAGCUUUGAGCUUUAUACCUUCAACUGAUGCUCCAACCACAGAAAAGCUCAGAUCCAAAGCCUAUACUCCAACUCUAUUCUCUUUAAUGCUCCUUCUUCACUCCAAGGAUACCACAAGAACACUAAGAAGCUCAUAAAUGGACACUCAAGCUCAAGGGACAAAAAUUAAGGUCUUGAGAGGGUUGAGGGCUGGAAAUGGUGGCCAGUAAUGAGGCUAUCAUGUUCCUUAGAUAAGGACACACCCCACAACUAGGGUUUUCACUCUGAGCCUAGUACGCCCAACGUACUAGGUGGCUUCCGCGUUCAAAUCACGCAUAUGAGUAUGAUGAGCGUACACAUGUGUAUGCCCCGCGUACUCAAUUACCACCUUUUCUCAAAUGAAGGGCCAAACUUGACAAUUGCAAUAAAACAAGGGUUUAUAAGUUAUACCUGGUCAUGGGUUGUUACACAAGGACAAGAUUUUGGUCGACCCGGCCAACAUCGAGGCUGUGAUGCAAUGGAAGGUUCCAAAAUCUCCCUCAGAGAUCAGGAGUUUCUUGGGUUUGGUAGGAUACUACCGGAGAUUUAUUCAGAAUUUUUCUUGGAUUGCGGUACCCCUCACUCAUCUAAUGAGGAAGGGGUGGAUUUUCGAUAGGGCCUCGAGCAGCAGUUGGUGUUUAAGACUCUUCGACAGAGGUUAUGCGAGGCCCUAGUGUUGACCCUCCCAGAGGGAGUCGUGGAUUUUGUAGUGUUCUGUGAUUCAUCCAUCACUGGUUUGGGAGCGGUCCUUGUGUAGAGAGAACAAGUGAUUGCUUAUGCUUCACGGCAACUGAAGUCGCACGAGACACGAUAUCCCACAUAUGAUCUGGAGUUGGGGGCAGUGAUAUUUACCUUCAAUAUUUGGAGGCAUUAUCUAUAUGGGGUCAGUUGUACUGUUUACACGGACCACAAGAGUUUGAGAUACCUCAUGGAUCAGCCGAACCUGAACAUGAGGUAGUGCAGGUGGCUGGACAUAGUCAAUGAUUAUAAAAUGUGAGAUCCUUUACCAUCUGGGUAAAGCAAAUGUGGUAACAGAUGCUUUGAGCCGCAAGUCGGUUGGGUCUUCAAUUAAGGAGAUGUGUAUGAGGAUAUAUGUUGAUUCACUACUUUUGGGAUUGAUUAUACAGGCACAAGAAGAGGGAGUUCGGAAAGAUAAUUGGAAACAGGAGCGGAUCAAGGGUGAGAUCGACAGUUUUGUCACGGAUAGUCGUGGAUUCUUAACCCAAUAUGGUCGGGUUUGGGUUUUAGUUUCUGGUGGUAUCAGGCAGAUUGUACUGGAGGAGGCUCAUAAGUCUUGCUUUUCUAUACACCUGAGAGCCACCAAGAUGUAUCAGGACUUGAGAUUGAGCUACUGGUGGUCGUGUAUGAAGAGGGAUAUAGCCUGGUAUGUUGAGAGGUGCUUGACCUGCAGGAUGGUCAAGGUCGAGCAUUAGAGGCCGCAUGGCAAGAUGCAGCCCCUGGAGUUUCCCAUGUUGAAGUGGAAUAGUUCACCAUGGAUUUCAUCACCAUGUUUCCGAAGAUAGUAAAGGGUUUUGAUGCAAUAUGAGUCAUCGUGGAUCAAUUGACCAUGAGUGUCCACUUUUUGGCCAUCCUGGGAGAGCUCUUCGGCCGAAAAGUUGGCCGACGUUUAUGUCUGGGAGAUUGUUGCUCGUCAUGGAGUUUCGAUCUCUACUGUCUCUGAACGAGAUGUACGGUUCACAUCUCCUUUUUGGCAGAAGUUCCACGAGGAACUGGGCACGAGGUUACAUUUCAGCACUACAUAUCAUCCGCAGACCUACGGUCAGUGUGAGUGGACUAUACAGACCCUUAAGGAUAUGUUGCGGGUCUGUGUUAUUGAUUUUGGUGGGAUUUGGGAUUCAUACUUACCUAUUGUGGAGUUCUCCUACAACAAUAGUUACCACUCCAGCAUCAGUGCUCCGCCAUUUGAGCUCUUGUAUAACCGGAAGUGUUGCAUCCCGGUUUGUUGGGGAGAGGUUGGACACAUAGUUAUGGGGAGGACAGAAGUAGUCCUUCAGACUACGGAGCUUAUUCAACAGAUCAGAUAGAGACUGUAGAAGAGCUAUGCCGACCGGCACAGAUCCAAGUUAGAGUUUCAAGUCGGCGAUAUGGUAUUACUAAUGGUCUCACCCUGGAAAGGCAUGGUACGCUUCAGGAAGAGGGGGAAAUUGGGUCCCGGUUUAUUGGACCCUUUCGGGUGAUUUCUAGGGUUGGAAAGGUAGCUUACAGGUUGGAAUUUUCGAGUGAGCUCAGUCAGAUCCACAGCACUUUCUAUAUCUCUUAGUUGCGGAAUUGUGUGUUGGAUAGCGAAGUGGUGGUUCUGUUGGAUGAUAUCCAGACCGAUGAGCGCCUGAACUAUGUCGAGAGGCCAGUGGCUAUCCUGUAAAGGAAGGUGAAGGUCCUGCACAACAACAAGAUACAUUUGGUAAAGGUACAGUAGCAGCAUCGGAGUGGCUCUGAGUGGACCUGGGAGUUGGAGGUUGAGAUGUGGGAGCAUUAUCCUGAGUUAUUCGAUGCAACCGACUACAAGGACGAAGUCUAGAUCAAGUGGGAGAGAAUUGUAACAUCCCGAUGAUAAGGUACUUCUACUUUGACCCUAUAAUUUAAUUAUAUUGCAUUCCUGGUCCUUAAGUGUAAGGACGUGUGAAAAAGGGCCCAUUGUGGCAAUUUGGAAAAAUUGGGAUUGAAUGAGUACGUCCUGCGUACGUGUUGAUACGCUAAGCGUACUAAGGCGCAACUUAGUACGUUAGGCGUACACUUCAUACGUGGGGCAUACGUGGUUGGCAUGCAAACCCUAGUUUUAGGGUCUUGGCUCAUAUUUAAACAUAUUUAUGGACAUAAACCCUACUCUUGCUGUAUUAGGUGUCUAAGCCCAUAACUAUAAUUAGGAUGUACUUGACCCGAUAGUAGCAUGGUCCUUUUUGGUUGCCUUCACCAGUGCAAUUUGAUAGGAUGGACUUUUUAGAAUAAGGUUAUUUGUGAUUUAUUAAUAUAUUAUAAGUAUAAUAUAUUAAUUGAGAAAUCAUAUUAUUUAAUUAGUAUUGAUCAAGAAUUAAUUUGGAAUUAAUUUAGUGAUCAAGAGAG
rnacentral:lncRNA from 1 species